UCCACCCUCAUCCGCUGGGGGCUGGUACCAGAAGCGAGCAAAUCCUCAUUGACUCCCAUGUUAAAAAUGCCAUUUUCACAGCAGAAAUAAACAUGUUUACAGCCUGGUUCAAAAAAUGGUUUUUUGUCUAAAUUAUCUAGUUUAUACUCAUGACAACUCUGAGGGGGGUGAAUUUUUUUCUCACUCUUCUGUUUAAGUGUAUUGAAAGCCUAAAAUUCUGUAUAAUUAAUGAGCAUCCGACACACGUGACCGCCGCCUCAGACCCACGUGACCACAGAGCUAGCUCCGUGGAAAGGCCUCAGUACAGCCUCGGUCUCUCCUGGAAACUGUGUCGGGAUUUUGAGUCUCUGUGCUUGUGAAUUCUGUUUUGGAUAAUAUUGGUGCAAUUGUUGGACAAAAUGACUUGCUGUGGUAUUAAUUGCACUAAUAGAGCGUCCAAGGAGUCUCCACUUCAUUUUUUUCGGGAAGGACCUGAUUGGUGUCCAGAACCUGCUGAAGAAGCACCAGGCUCUGCAGGCUGAGAUCACAGGUCAUGAACCUCGCAUCAAGGCUGUCACCCAGAAAGGAGAGACCAUAAUGGAGGAAGGUCACUUCGCUGGUUCAGAACCCUCGGCCCGUCAGAACAUUCUUAUCCACCACGUUCUAACACCAGACCUGUUAACCCAACAGCAACAAGUGGCUCCAACUGACGAUGAGACCAGGAAGGAGCUGGUUCUGGCUCUGUACGACUACCAGGAGAAGAGUCCUGGAGAGGUCACCAUGAAGAAGGGCGACAUCCUCACGCUGCUCAACAGCACCCACAAGGUUGUUUUACUUGAACUCGCGUCUUUAGCUGAAUGAGGAUGGAGAGACGGGUCGGACCUGGAGCAGGUCGAGGUCUUGCAGAAGAAGUUUGACGACUUCCAGAAGGACCUGAAGGCCAACGAGUCCCGCCUGAGGGACAUCAACAAGGUGGCAUGUGAACUGGAGUCAGAAGGUCUGAUGGCUGAGGAGGCUCCUAUGGUUCAGGCUCAGCAACAAGAACAUCUGGGUUCUGCUCCUGGAAAGACCGUACGGUUGGGCGUUCAGACGACGGCUAACUUUAAUUCCAUCAAGGUAAGAGGAAGCUCUUCCCUUCCUGUCUGAGCGAUCCGUCUCCAGGUUUCCUCGUCCGGCGUCCAGCCCGCUGGCGUCCACCUUCAUCUCACUGGGUUUGGUUUCU